rnacentral:rRNA from 1 species
AUUGAACGCUGGCGGCAUGCCUUACACAUGCAAGUCGAACGGCAGCACGGGAGCAAUCCUGGUGGCGAGUGGCGAACGGGUGAGUAAUAUAUCGGAACGUGCCCAGUCGUGGGGGAUAACUACUCGAAAGAGUAGCUAAUACCGCAUACGAUCUACGGAUGAAAGCGGGGGAUCUUCGGACCUCGCGCGAUUGGAGCGGCCGAUAUCAGAUUAGGUAGUUGGUAGGGUAAAAGCCUACCAAGCCUGCGAACUGUAGCUGGUCUGAGAGGACGACCAGUCACACUUGAGCGGAGACACGGGCCAGACUCCGCUGGGAGGCAUCAGUGGUGAAUUUUGGACAAUGUGCGCUAGCCUGGUCCAGCAAUGCCGCGUGAAGGACGACGGCCUUCGGGUUGUCAACUGCUUUUGUACGGAGCGAAAAGGUCUCUACUAAUACUAGGGGCUCAUGACGGUACCGUAAGAAUAAGCACCGGCUAAGUACGUGCCAGCCGCCGCCGUAA